UCCAUCCCCAUUUGGAAUAUCCCGGUC
rnacentral:piRNA from 1 species